rnacentral:rRNA from 1 species
GAUGAACGCUGGCGGCGUGCUUAACACAUGCAAGUCGAACGGAAAGGCCCAAGCUUGCUUGGGUACUCGAGUGGCGAACGGGUGAGUAACACGUGGGUGAUCUGCCCUGCACUUCGGGAUAAGCCUGGGAAACUGGGUCUAAUACCGGAUAGGACCACUUCUUGGAUGUUGUGGUGGAAAGUUUUUUCGGUGUGGGAUGAGCUCGCGGCCUAUCAGCUUGUUGGUGGGGUAAUGGCCUACCAAGGCGUCGACGGGUAGCCGGCCUGAGAGGGUGUACGGCCACAUUGGGACUGAGAUACGGCCCAGACUCCUACGGGAGGCAGCAGUGGGGAAUAUUGCACAAUGGGCGCAAGCCUGAUGCAGCGACGCCGCGUGGGGGAUGACGGCCUUCGGGUUGUAAACUCCUUUCGCUAGGGACGAAGCGUUUUGUGACGGUACCUGGAGAAGAAGCACCGGCUAACUACGUG